AUUGAACGCUGGCGGCAUGCUUUACACAUGCAAGUCGAACGGUAACAGGUUAAGCUGACGAGUGGCGAACGGGUGAGUAAUGCAUCGGAACGUGCCCGAUCGUGGGGGAUAACGCAGCGAAAGCUGCGCUAAUACCGCAUACGAUCUGAGGAUGAAAGCGGGGGACCGUAAGGCCUCGCGCGAUCGGAGCGGCCGAUGUCAGAUUAGGUAGUUGGCGGGGUAAAGGCUCACCAAGCCAACGAUCUGUAGCUGGUCUGAGAGGACGACCAGCCACACUGGGACUGAGACACGGCCCAGACUCCUACGGGAGGCAGCAGUGGGGAAUUUUGGACAAUGGGCGAAAGCCUGAUCCAGCAAUGCCGCGUGCAGGAAGAAGGCCUUCGGGUUGUAAACUGCUUUUGUACGGAGCGAAAAGGUCCCCUCUAAUACAGGGGGCUCAUGACGGUACCGUAAGAAUAAGCACCGGCUAACUACGUGCCAGCAGCCGCCGUAA
rnacentral:rRNA from 1 species